rnacentral:rRNA from 1 species
UGGGGAAUAUUGCACAAUGGGGGGAACCCUGAUGCAGCCAUGCCGCGUGAAUGAAGAAGGCCUUCGGGUUGUAAAGUUCUUUCGGUGACGAGGAAGGUUGGUAGGUUAAUAGCCCAUCAAAUUGACGUUAAUCACAAAAGAAGCACCGGCUAACUCCGUGCCAGCAGCCGCGGUAAUACGGGGGGUGCGAGCGUUAAUCGGAAUAACUGGGCGUAAAGGGCACGCAGGCGGUGACUUAAGUGAGAUGUGAAAGCCCCGAGCUUAACUUGGGAAUUGCAUUUCAUACUGGGUCGCUAGAGUACUUUAGGGAGGGGUAGAAUUCCACGUGUAGCGGUGAAAUGCGUAGAGAUGUGGAGGAAUACCGAAGGCGAAGGCAGCCCCUUGGGAAUGUACUGACGCUCAUGUGCGAAAGCGUGGGGAGCAAACAGGAUUAGAUACCCUGGUAGUCCACGCUGUAAACGAUGUCGAUUUGGGGAUUGGGCUUUGAGCUUGGUGCCCGUAGCUAACGUGAUAAAUCGACCGCCUGGGGAGUACGGCCGCAAGGUUA